rnacentral:tRNA from 1 species
GCCGAAGUGGCGGAAUUGGUAGACGCGUCGGUCUCAAAAACCGAUGAGCCUAGCUCGUGCCGGUUCGAUUCCGGCCUUCGGUACCA